rnacentral:rRNA from 1 species
AGAGUUUGAUCCUGGCUCAGGAUGAACGCUGGCGGCGUGCCUAAUACAUGCAAGUCGAACGCGAGACGAGGGAGCUUGCUCCCUCCGAUCGAGUGGCGGACGGGUGAGUAACACGUAGGCAACCUGCCCAUCAGCCGGGGAUAACUGCGGGAAACCGUGGCUAAUACCGGAUAAACCUUUCCUCCGCGGGGAGGGGAGUUGAAAGACGGUUUCGGCUGUCGCUGAUGGAUGGGCCUGCGGCGCAUUAGCUGGUUGGUGGGGUAACGGCCCACCAAGGCGACGAUGCGUAGCCGACCUGAGAGGGUGAUCGGCCACACUGGGACUGAGACACGGCCCAGACUCCUACGGGAGGCAGCAGUAGGGAAUCUUCCGCAAUGGACGCAAGUCUGACGGAGCAACGCCGCGUGAGUGAAGAAGGGUUUCGGCUCGUAAAACUCUGUUGUUAAGGAGGAAUGACAGGUAGAGUAACUGCUACCUGUGUGACGGUACUUAACCAGAAAGCCACGGCUAACUACGUGCCAGCAGCCGCGGUAAUACGUAGGUGGCAAGCGUUAUCCGGAAUUAUUGGGCGUAAAGCGCGCGUAGGCGGUCUUUUAAGUCUGAUGUGAAAGCCCCCGGCUCAACCGGGGAGGGUCAUUGGAAACUGGGAGACUUGAGUGCAGAGAAGAAAGUGGAAUUCAUGUGUACCGUGAAAUGCGCA